UCUCUCUAAAAACGAAGAAAGCUUAAUCGUAAAACCCUAAUUCAAUCUUUCAUCUUUGUUGAACUCACCGAUGGUGAGGAGUCACAUUUGACUUUGACUUAUUUUACACAACUUUGUUUGUGAGGAAUCGUUGCUGGGAAACAGAAGGGUAUCAACAUCUCUCUCUCUCUCUGCUAAAUCUAAACCCUUGUUACUUUUCUCCGGUUCAUCCAGAUUACCAAUCGCAAAACAGCAAUUCUGCAGAUAUGUUUGUAUAGGCCUUAUUGAAUCUUUUAUAAAUGGAAGAAAGCGGGAGAUCUCGGGUUCGGUCGACGGUUUCAUGGAACAAAGAAAGAAAAAGGAACAAGGCUAUUCAAGGCACAAGAAACGUAAGACCCCGGUAAAUUUCAUGCUUAGAAUGGCGAGCUCGGAUUCGAACACACCACAUCAUCCAUAUAUGCGCUUCCGGUUCAAGUUAUCUUUUGAAAUGGGUCAAAUAAUUUUUGUAAUGUAAAUGUAAAUUUUACGUUUUAGGAUGUUCGUAAGUAGUUUGAAUUUUAAAACCUUUUUUAGUAGUUCGGACAUAACCCUUGUGUUAAGUCUUGUAUGGUCACAACUUUUAUUUCUUUUGAAAAUGUCGUAGAAGUUUAUUUGAA